AUCUUAGGAUAGCCAGUUCCCAACACAGUGCCUGCUGCAAAUUAUCAGUAAUAACAAUAAGUCUUUGUCACGUGAUGAGUUACCUUUCGGUCUCUCUGCAGUCUCUUUCCUCCCAGUGCCCCUUGGCUGCCCCGAAGCCCUGACCCCUGACCUCCUGCCCCUUCUGUCUCCAGGGCCGUUAACUCCCCUGCUGGUCCCUAUCCAUGGAGCCCAUUGACAGAUGAGUUUGGUUCUGGACCUGAGGAGGACAGUUACAGACACAGAUAUCUUUUAAGAUCCUGAACUCUCCUCUCUACACCAUCGCAUCUCAGUGGAACCAUGAGCCUCAAGACCUGAGUUCAAGUUCGUCCUCUGCCACUUACUAAUGUGAUCUCGGCAAGUCACGUAUUCUCCCUGGAGCUCAUUUUCCACAUCUGUAAAGUGGGGAUUAAAAA